CACCUACCCGCUACCCAUGGCGGGUAUGGAUUUCAUACCCACCACCCGCCUACUACCCGCCAAAGUUGUACCCAUCCCCGCCCCAACUGGGGCGGGUGCGGUGCGGUAUCCGCAAUUUUUUACCCACCUGCCAUCCCUAAUCAACAUCACGCAUCAUUCUUCACCAUCAUCACUAAUCACCAUAUUCAUCAUCAUACAUCCAUGGAAGCUUCUUGCAAGUUGCAAAUUCACUACUUAGCUUCUUCUACGUGUAAAUCUCUAAAUCAAACACCAUCAUCAAGCUCUCUCCACCAUAUGAUGCACCACCCAAAUCACCCAAUCAAAAUUGAUUCUCAAUCUGAAUAAUCACUCAAAUUCAUCUAUAAAUAGUGCAAGGAUUCAACACAAUUCAAUUCACAAAUCAAUUGCAAACCCAUCCUCAAAAUUUCAGAAAGUUUAAAUUCAAGAAAAUUCAUUUUAAAUUUCACAAAUAAACUCCCUGCUUCUCGUUGCUCCGGUCGACCACCACCGCGGCUCUGCCGCUGCGUCAGCCACCACCACCCUGCUUCUUCGACCUUCUUCCUUCUCCUCCCGCAGCCUUGUUCUCUCUUCCCUCCUCGCGUCUGCUUCUGUCUCUCCCUCUCUCGCAACUCUCUCUUGUCUCCCUCCCUUCUUGCUUCGGUCCACCGGAAACCACCACCACCAAAACCCGCAGCCACGACCACCUGCAGCGCCGCCCUCCCUGGCGCCGCGAACCACCUGCAUCUCCGCCUAACACCAGCCACACUCCGUCGCCUUCCUCCUUCGUCAUCUUUCAUCCCCCUGCCUCCCUCCUCUGCCUCCCUCACCCGCGACUCUCUCCCCAUCCCUGCAGCGUCGACACCACCAAAACCGCGGCCACCUCCUCCCCUCCCGCCUGCUGUGCCGCCCAAUCUAAGCCGUGCAACCACCCACGCAGCUCCCUUCCUUCUCCCCUUCUUUGUCGUGCUCCUGCUAUUGAGAGACCAAGUUGGUCUUUUGUUUUCUUUUUAAACCAAUUCCUAAAACAAUCAGUAAAUGAGUAACCCAAAGUCCAUUUUCUUGACCCAUUAAUGAAUUCGUUUCUCGGAAUUCAAGGCGAACGAUCCAUUAAAGUUAAUGAGUAAGAAUUACGUAUUGCGGUAUAAGGUACCGAAGAGGACAACAGGAUGGAUUAGUGGUGAGGACGUAUCCGUUAAAGCAAGAUUCGUUUCUCGGAAUUCAAGGCGAACGAUCCAUUAAAGUUAAUGAGUAAGAAUUACGUAUUGCGGUAUAAGGUAACAUCUAUUGCUAACACCCACAAUCCCCUUCGCAAAUGCGUUUAUGGAAAUGAUUUAUGAAUUUGAGAAAUGCUUUAUGAUUUACAACCAUGUUUAUGAUAUAAUUCUUGAUUGGAUUGUGGGAUGCCUUUUGAUUUCAAUAAUGAUUUUAUGAAAGUAUUAAUUAUUUCAAUGAGCUUUAGGAAGCAUGAUUUAUGAUUACGAAAUGAUAUUCUGUCAACCCAUGAAUAAGAAACGAAACAUGAUAAUGAAAAGUGAAAGACAAGGUUCUGGCAGUAUUUGAUCUGUUCUGUUCUGUUCUGAUUCUGAUUCUGAUUAUGGUCGUGCACGUACCCUCGUACCCCGCUACCCCAUAAUGGGUAACGUCUGUUUCUGUCUGAUUAUGAUGGUACGAUCUGGUGGGAGACGUCCUACAUUCUGUUCAUACUUGCCAGUAACCAUGAAUGAAUGUUUUUAAUAAUAUAAUGGAAAACUAUUAUAUUUCAUCUUAUUGUUUAUCUUGAAUUGCAAAAGAUUUUAUGAAAUGAUUUGCAAAAAGGUUUUACAAUAUUCUACUCUCAUUCUGUUUGCAAAUAAAAUGAAUUGAAAUGAAUUUACGUUGUUAGGGUAGUUGUUACUGGGCCUCGGCUCAUGAUAUUGCUUUUGGUUUUAGGUACCGAAGAGGACAACAGGAUGGAUUAGUGGUGAGGACGUAUCCGUUAAAGCAAGGUUAUUUAAGUUGAAUAAAUAAACUUAGUAGUUAAUUAUGUACUCAAACUCUAGCUUUAAUUCUAAGAAUUAUUACGGGUUGUAUUAUGACAAUUUAGUUAAUAUCACGAGUCUUUUGUUUCAUUAAUAUUAGUUUACUUUAAUAUUGAAUUAUGCGCCUUGCAUCUCUCAAUAGAGAGGUACGGCAUGUGACGCACCGACUAAAUUAGGAUUCCGCUGCUAAUUAUAGAUUAAUUAACUUAAUAAAAUUGAUUAGAAGUCGGGGCGUUACAGAUUGGUAUCAGAGCAAAGGUUCUGAGACCGAAAAAUGAAGCCUUGUGGGCUUUAUGCUAAUAAAUGCACUUUAGGAAUAAAAUGAAUUAAAAUAGG